GACGAACGCUGGCGGCGUGCUUAACACAUGCAAGUCGAGCGGAGCGGCCAACGGGCGGGUAACGCGUUAGUAACUGCCCCCCUCUCUGGGAUGACAGUUGGAAACGGCUGCUAAUACCGGAUAGCGGGGUAUGGCUCGGGGCCAAUCAGCUUGUUGGUGGGGUAGUGGCCUACCAAGGCGACGACGGGUAGCCGGCCUGGGAGGGCGACCGGCCACAUUGGGCUGAGUGACGGGCCAAACUCCUACGGGAGGCAGGAGUGGGGAAUAUUACACAAUGGGGCCACGCGUGUUGCGGCAACCCGCGUGCGGGAUGCCGUCCUUCGGGUUGUAAACCGCUUUCAGCCAUGACGCGGUAGUGGCAGAAGAAGCACCGGCUAACUACGUGCCAGCAGCCGCGGUAAUAC
rnacentral:rRNA from 1 species